rnacentral:rRNA from 1 species
GACAGAGGGUGCAAACGUUGCUCGGAAUCACUGGGCGUAAAGGGCGUGUAGGCGGGAAGGAAAGUCAGAUGUGAAAUCCCUGGGCUCAACCCAGGAACUGCAUUUGAAACUCCCUUUCUUGAGUACCGGAGAGGAAGGUGGAAUACCUGGUGUAGAGGUGAAAUUCGUAGAUAUCAGGUGGAACACCAGUGGCGAAGGCGGCCUUCUGGACAGCGACUGACGCUGAGACGCGAAAGCGUGGGGAGCAAACAGG